UGUUCCCCUUCGAGAAAUAACUCAUUUUAAUGUCUAAUAUUUUUGUGAGUGCUCUCUUUGCUUUGACAUUUUUAUGGUAUUUUUGAACAAAUUAAUUUCGAAAUUCAUUUCGCGAUACGCCAUUGUUGUUGUCGUUGUUUUAUAAAUGAAACUAGCUGAAUAUGAAUUAUUUGAGUUUAGCAACUGGUCGUCUAUGUGCGGCGUCUCGGCUGGUAUUGGAUGGGGAUGUGGAUGCGGAUGGAGAUGACCAUGAGUGUGGGUGGCAUUUCUGGGAUUGCUCUAGUGAUGCGCAUGCUGAAUUCUGAUGACACUUGUCGCCUAGUUUCGAAAACUAGGCGUCAAAUCAAAUGGCAGAGAGAUUUCCCAUAGCCCAUAACGGCGAUGUGGCGGCUGCUGCCAAAUGUUUUUCAUCUCAUAUUUCCGCGUCCCUCGUGUUUCCCUCCCACAGCCCUCAAUGUGAAAUAUGUUGCAGCUUAUUUUUAUAUACUUCUACAAACAGGCAACAGUCAUUUGUCUAAUUUGUGGUUUUUUUUUUGUUACUGUGUUGGCAAGAAACUAAAGCAUAUUGUGGCAGUCGAGAGAUCAGUCUAUUCUUAAUUCAUAAGCCCACACUAAGAUCGGUGCGGUAAAGGCGGAGAGAGGAGGACGCGAGGGAAUCCCAUAAAUUAAGUUCAAUUUGCAAUUGAUGUCUGCAUUAUUUACAAACGAAAACAUAUUAUACCACAUACACGUACAUAGAUAAUUAAAAACCAAACAAAUUCGCGCCAAAAACAAAUGAAAAUCAAAGCUAACAAAAAUGUGGUUAUAGAAACGGACGGGCUGGCUCGACCAGCAGCUACCCUGCAAUAUGUUUUUAAACAAAAAUAUUAAAAGUUUUCCCCAUUAAAGUUAAGAUAAUAAUGAUUUUAGUUAUUAUUAUUAUUUAUUCAGAAAGGGGGAAAACUUGUUUGAAACAUUUACAGGGUAUUCAAAUCAGAUGAAAAUUACGAGCACUAGCCAAAAACCGAACAUCGAAAGACAUUAACGAGAUGAUUGAAAUGUGGGUGGCAAAUACAAAAAAAAAAAAUAAUAAUAAUAAAAACGAGAGGAACUGAUCAAGAAAAAAUGUCUAUGUCAACUUGA